GCCUACGGGGGGCAGCAGUAGGGAAUUUUCGUCAAUGGGCGCAAGCCUGAACGAGCAAUGCCGCGUGAACGAGGAUGGUCUUCGGAUCGUAAAGUUCUGUUGAAGGGGAAAAAGAGCGGAGAGAGGAAAUGGUCUCCGAUUGAUAUUACCCUUCGAGGAAGUUACGGCUAACUACGUGCCAGCAGCCGCGGUAAUACGUAGGUGGCGAGCGUUAUCCGGAAUGAUUGGGCGUAAAGGGUGCGUAGGCGGCCUGCUAAGUCUGGAGUGAAAGGUACCGGCUCAACCGGUACAGGCUCUGGAAACUG
rnacentral:rRNA from 1 species